rnacentral:rRNA from 1 species
GUUGAACCCUGGCGGCAUGCCUUACACAUGCAAGUCGAACGGCAGCACGGGAGCAAUCCUGGUGGCGAGUGGCGAACGGGUGAGUAAUAUAUCGGAACGUGCCCAGUCGUGGGGGAUAACGCAGCGAAAGCUGUGCUAAUACCGCAUACGAUCUACGGAUGAAAGCGGGGGAUCGCAAGACCUCGCGCGAUUGGAGCGGCGGAUAUCAGAUUAGCUAGUUGGUGGGGUAAAGGCCCACCAAGGCGACGAUCUGUAGCUGGUCUGAGAGGACGACCAGCCAUACUGGAACUGAGACACGGUCCAGACUCCUACGGGAGGCAGCAGUGGGGAAUUUUGGACAAUGGGCGCAAGCCUGAUCCAGCAAUGCCGCGUGCAGGAUGAAGGCCUUCGGGUUGUAAACUGCUUUUGUACGGAACGAAACGGCUCCUUCUAAUACAAGGGGCUAAUGACGGUACCGUAAGAAUAAGCACCGGCUAACUACGUGCCAGCAGCCGCAGUAAAAC